GUUACUCAUAAUCUCAAGAAUUCAGCUUAUAUGUCACUUCCUGAGGGAAGCUUUUCCUGAUACUCUGAGCCUACUAGACUACAUUAAAUCCCCUUCUAAAGACCCCCAUAGGAGUUCCCGUCACGACUCAGUGGUAAUGAACCUGACUAGCAUCCAUGAUGACGCAGGUUCGAUCCCUGGCCUUGAUCAGUGAGUUAAGGAUCUGGCCUUGCUGCAAGCUGUGGUGUAGGUCACAGACGCGGCUUGGAUCUGGCAUUGGUGUGGCUGUAGUGUAGAUGGGCAGCUACAGCUCUGAUUCGACCCCUAGCCUGGGAACUUCCACAUGCUUUGGGUGUGGCUCUAAAAAGAAGAAGGGGAAAAAAAAAAAAAAGGCUCUUACAGCCCUCUCUACUCCCUCCUUGAUAAAUAAAUGCAGCUGAGCUGCCAAAGUGCUAAGAGGUAAUCCAGAAGUCUAUGGCGGUGGGAAUCACAGCAACAUAGGCACCCCUGUCUAACCCCUCCCCUCAUAAAGGACCUCUAGUUAGAGCCAUGCCCUUGUAUCCUGUCUCAUUCUCUCUGGUUUCAGUGGCUCACAAAUCCCCUGGGAGAGAGAGGAGAAAAGGCUUGUAGCUGUUACUGCAGGUAAAUCAUUAGAGGCAAAGUUGGCUCGUGGAUCUUCAACCUCACAGUGCCAUUUAUAAAUUGGGGGGCAUUCUUCUAUCAAUUAAGACAACAUAAAAUAUUUGAUUCCAUUUAGAGCUUUUUUGUUUGUUCUAAAACAGGGAAAUAGUAAACAUAAUAGUUUUCCUUCAUUAAAAUCUGGGUCAUAGUCGUCCUGCUCCUGGGGAUGUUGUUCAUAAUAAUCCUUAAUAUUUGUUAAGAUUACUGGCCAGAGUAGGUGUAUCUGUUUGGUUUUCCAUGGUGAGUGCAUUUUGCCAUGAUCAGGUUUUUUUUGUUUUUUUUUUUUUUUUCUUUUUAAGGCUGCGCCUGCGGCAUAUGGAGGUUUCCAAGCUAGGGGGUCUAAUUGUAGCUGUACCUGCCGGCCUAGGCCACAGCUCACAGCAAUGCCGGAUCCUUAACCCACUGAGCAAGGCCAAUGAUUGAAGCCGCACCUCAUGGUUCCUAGUCAGAUUCAUUUCUACUGCAUCAGAAUGGGAACUCCACCAUGAUCCUUUAUACUAGCUCUGCUGCUACACUCCCAGGCCAGGCCACCAAUAUCUCUGACCUGGGCUCUUUCCAUCCUAACUGGUUGCCCAGGCUUCAUCCUUAGCUCCCCACUGUUCAUCUUCCACAGCUACAGGCAGCCAUAGUGAUCCUUCUAAAGGGUAAAUCCGAUUAGAUCAUGUCUUUGCUUAAAAGUCUUCAGUAGUUCUAUUACACUUAGAAGAAAAAAAUCCAGGAGUUCCCGUCGUGGCGCAGUGGUUAACAAAUCUGACUAGGAACCAUGAGGUCGUGGGUUUGAUCCCUGGCUUUGCUCAGUGGGUUAAGGGUCCGGCGUUGCCAUGAGCUGUGGUGUAGGUCACAGACAUGGCUCAGAUCCUGCAUUGCUGCGGCUUGGAUCCCAUGUUGCUGUGGCGCUGACGUAGGCGGCAGCUGCGGCUCCAGUUAGACCCCUAGCCUGGGAACCUCCAUAUGCCACGGGAGCAGCCCUAGAAAUGGCAGAAAGACCAAAAAAAGAAAGAAAAAAAAAA
rnacentral:lncRNA from 1 species